UACAGGCAGUCUCAAGCUGUUCGGUUCGGAUUCAUUGGGGCGUAAAGGGUGCGUAGGCGGCGCGGUAAGUCGGGUGUGAAAUCUUGGAGCUUAACUCCGAAACUGCAUUCGAUACUGCCGUGCUUGAGGACUGGAGAGGAGACUGGAAUUUACGGUGUAGCGGUGAAAUGCGUAGAUAUCGUAAGGAAGACCAGUGGCGGAAGGCGGGUCUCUGGACAGUUCCUGACGCUGAGGCACGAAGGCCAGGGGAGCAAACGGG
rnacentral:rRNA from 1 species